AAAUUGAAGAGUUUGAUCAUGGCUCAGAUUGAACGCUGGCGGCAGGCCUAACACAUGCAAGUCGAACGGUAGCACAGAGAGCUUGCUCUCGGGUGACGAGUGGCGGACGGGUGAGUAAUGUCUGGGAAACUGCCUGAUGGAGGGGGAUAACUACUGGAAACGGUGGCUAAUACCGCAUAACGUCGCAAGACCAAAGAGGGGGAC
rnacentral:rRNA from 9 species